UGAAGCUGGAGGGAGUGACGCCAGCCUCGCCACAUGUAGAGAAGCCAGUGUAUGCUGAGUCCAGGGAAUAAAUGAGGGCUGUCAGGCUGACUAAUGACCGGGUCUCUGCUGCGGUGGAAUCAGGAGAAAGUCUCCAUCUACCGAUGUCACUCAUUCUGCGAUGAACCCCAGCGCUGAUGGAUUGUAGGAUCUGGCUAUGAUUACACGCUGCACUGGCAUCCACUCAUCCCCCGAUCCCUUUGUUAUUCUGGAAACGGGUGUCCGUCAUUCUGCUAGCUGUCCAUCCAUCCACUUGGGUGGUGGACGUCCUGUGGACUCCGAAUGCCUGCAGUGUCAGAGGGGAGAUCCUGUCUUUCAGCAUCAAGAUCCAGAAUCCAGAAAACACUCACACAUACACACAUCUUUGGCCCCCCCACCUUCCCAUCAUGCCUUGCCUGGCUGUAUUAUGACAGGUGGAGUGUCGGUCGCCGCCAGCCGGACUCUUCCACCAGCAUCUCUCCGUGACUCAGAAGGGCUGCUGAAGAGCAUUAGUGUGAGAAAGUAUCAAAAUUUGUGUUUAGAAGUUCAUGUUUUCUGCAUAUAUUUACAUAUUCUGCAUAAAUAUAUGUGUCUCUGAAUGUGGUGAAAGAAGCACUCAGAUGUUGACUAAAAGCUCAAGAAACUUUCAUUUUGAUUUGAUUUUGGCGCCCCCCGUGGACAAAACCGGUAGUGUUUCCAUGAGCUCCAUUGCCUUAUAUUGUAAAGAUUUCGACCAGGCUGACAUGGACUUUAGUCUUUUCCAAGCCAGUGAGAAAAAGACAACUUAUUUUUAAUACAGUUUUUUUUCACACACAGGUGUUUGCAGGAUGCAAAGCGAUGAGGUAAUGUAUCUGUUUGUGGUGAUAUACAAUUUGUAACCCAUAACUGUAAAAUGAUGGGGAAAUGUAAAUUAAUAUACUGAUGUAAAACCACGUCUCACAAUGUAUUUCAUUCAUAAAGAAGGCAUAUUAUAUACCUGUCUCAGAGGAAGACGAGGUCCAACUCAGGAAACAACUCUUUAAAAUCCUGCAGCUCCCUCCAUCUCUAUUUGAUGAAAAGUUGACUCUUAUUCUUGCUCAUGCUCUAUCACUGUCCCUUUAGCUUUUUUUAAAAAUCUUCGGCAAAUUAUUUUCUUUUACUCUUUGCCGAUCCUGCUCCAGUAUCAGUUAUAACCACAACAUAUACAUAAAAAGUAAAGAAAUUUUAAGAAACAUCUCCCCCUGCUUACUUUAAACUGGCUAACAAAUGACCCAUUGUAAAACUUUGCUUCAGAAAAUGUAAACAUAAGCAUUUCCACCUUUGUGCCGUGAAUCAUUUCAUCUGAUACUUUGGGGAAUCGAAUCUGGGGACAGGCAUUAAGAAUGACUAUAGAAAUAGUCAUUCUUCUCACUGGUCUUGUUUGCUUAUGUAGGUCUUAGAGGCAUCUUUAUUAAAUUUAGACUGUUUCAAACUAGUUAAAGACUCGCCAUAUACAUUCAGGUAAACAUUACAUUACAUGUCAUUUAGCAGAAGCUUUUUUUUUUUUUUGGCAUUUUGCUGCUUUAUUAGAUAGUGACAGAUAGAAAGGGGAAGACAGAGGGGAAGACAUGCGGCAAAGGGGCCUCAGGCCGGAUUCGAACCCGGGUCCGCUGCAGCAAGGACUCAGCCUUAAUGGUACGCGCUCUACCAGUGUGAGCCACCAGGACGCCCCUAGCAGACGCUUUUGUCCAAAGCGACUUACAAUAAGGUGUUAAAAUAAUUGAUUAUUUUCUAUAUUGGUAAAUGAUUUGAUGCUUGAUUUCUGCUUCUCUGUUUGACUCCCUGGUGUCUGUCCCUGUUCUCUGUCUCUGUGCGUGACGUAGGUCACUAUCAAAGGUCAAACCUUGAGUGUAAUAAAUAUCUCAAUGCAUUUAUAUUAAAUUAGGCAAUAUGAUUUUGAUACAAUUAUUUUGUUUGUGUGUUAAUUUUGGUUUAGAAACUUUGACUACAUAUAUUUCAUUGUCUGUUUCAUAUUUUUUAGACUUUUAGAAUCUAUGUGAGACAGUGAAAAUCCUUUGACUCUGUAGACAUAAUAUCUUUGUUAUACAUAACAAGACAAAAUGUUUUGGUUGAAUGUUCUGGAGAAGAGGCCAGGUCAGGAUGGCCUUGUCCGGGGCAGCAAGCAACCAGGUGGCAUGACGUGCCGUUGUAUUAAUUAAAACUGGCGAAUCAGCGAUCAAGAAGGCGGAACUUCCUGUAAGAAAUCGACCAGCAUGUUUUGUAAACAAAUGUUAGUAUUUUAAUGGGUUCAGGGAGAGAGUCGUGGUUCAGACUUCACGAACUGAAACACGUCUGUUUGUAUUCAGGGACAUGAGUUUUUGAACCCAGAGAUCUCUGUAAAGUGCACAUUUUUUGACGUAUUGUAAUA